UACGUAGGGUGCGAGCGUUAAUCGGAAUUACUGGGCGUAAAGCGUGCGCAGGCGGUGAUGUAAGACCGAUGUGAAAUCCCCGGGCUUAACCUGGGAACUGCAUUGGUGACUGCAUUGCUGGAGUAUGGCAGAGGGGGGUGGAAUUCCACGUGUAGCAGUGAAAUGCGUAGAGAUGUGGAGGAACACCGAUGGCGAAGGCAAUCCCCUGGGCCUGCACUGACGCUCAUGCACGAAAGCGUGGGGAGCAAACAGG
rnacentral:rRNA from 1 species